rnacentral:rRNA from 1 species
CAAUAGCGUAUAUUUAAGUUGUUGCAGUUAAAAAGCUCGUAGUUGGAUUUCGGUUAAGAGCGACCGGUCCGCCGUUUGGUGUGCACUGGUUGGUUCUAACUUCCUGUAGAGGACGUGCUCUGGGUUUAACGACCUGGACUCGGAGUCUACGUGGUUACUUUGAAAAAAUUAGAGUGUUCAAAGCGGGCUUACGCUUGAAUAUUUCAGCAUGGAAUAACACUAUAGGACUCCUGUCCUAUUUCGUUGGUCUCGGGACGGGAGUAAUGAUUAAGAGGAACAGUUGGGGGCAUUCGUAUUUCAUUGUCAGAGGUGAAAUUCUUGGAUUUAUGAAAGACGAACUUCUGCGAAAGCAUUUGCCAAGGAUGUUUUCAUUAA